rnacentral:rRNA from 1 species
UGGCUUGGAAGCAGCCAUUCAUUUAAAGAGUGCGUAACAGCUCACUAGUCGAGCGAUCCCGCGUGGAUAAUACACGGGCAUCAAACUGUCAACCGAAGCCGUGGGGUUAGCUUGAUGGCUAACCGGUAGGAGAGCAUUCCUGCCAGCUUUGAAGGUCACCCGCGAGAGUGACUGGAGCGGCAUGAAAAGCAAAUGUAGGCAUAAGUAACGAUAAUGGGGGCGAGAACCCCCCACGCCGCAAGACCAAGGCUUCCCCGGCAAUGUCAAUCAGCCGGGGGUCAGCCGGCCUCUAAGGCUAACCCGAAGGGGGACGCCGACGAGAAACGGGUUAACAUUCCCGUGCUUCUCGUCACCGUGACGCGGUGACGGGGUGAUGAAUGGACCGCGCGCAGACGGAAUAGCGCGUUGAAGGCCGUACCCUUCGAGGGUGGUAGUCAAGCACGCCACCGGAGGCGACAGCCGAUAGUACCUCGAGGCCUCGGCCGAGGGGAUAGCGUCCAGGCAAUUAACCCCCUAGAAAACCCGCUAAACUUCAAGUGACGAGGAACCGUACCGUAAACGGACACACGUGGUCGGGUAGAACAUACCAAGGCGCUCGAGUGAUUCAUGGUCAAGGAACUAGGCAAAAUAGUCCUGUAACUUAGGGAUAAAGGACGCUCUAGUGAUAGAGCCGCAGAGAAAUGGCCCAGGCGACUGUUUACCAAAAACACAUGGCUAUGCCAAAUCGAAAGAUGACGUAUAUGGCCUGACACCUGCCCGGUGCCGGAAGGUUAAGAGGAGAGCUCAUCAGUAAUGAGAAGGUUUGAAUUGAAGCCCCGGUAAACGGCGGCCGUAACUAUAACGGUCCUAAGGUAGCGAAAUUCCUUGUCGGGUAAGUUCCGACCUGCACGAAUGGUGUAACGAUCUGGGCACUGUCUCGACCAUGAGCUCGGUGAAAUUGUAGUUCCGGUGAAGAUGCCGGGUACCCGCGACGGGACGGAAAGACCCCGUGAACCUUUACUGCAGCUUCGCGUUGUUCCCGGGCACGGGACGUGUAGGAUAGGUCGGAGGCUACGAUUCGGUUUCGCCAGGAAUCGAGGAGCCAUCGUUGAAAUACGACCCUUCUCUUGUCUGGGAUCUAACCCUAGGUACAGGGGACACCGCGUGGUGGGUAGUUUGACUGGGGUGGUCGCCUCCAAAAGCGUAACGGAGGCUUCCAAAGGUACCCUCGGGUUGGUUGGUAAUCAACCUCAGAGUGCAAUGGCACAAGGGUGCUUGACCGGGAGACCAACGAGUCGAUCGGGUGCGAAAGCAGGGCAUAGUGAUCCGGUGAUCCCGCGUGGAAGGGUCAUCGCUCAAAGGAUAAAAGGUACUCCGGGGAUAACAGGCUGAUCGCCCCCAAGAGCUCAUAUCGACGGGGCGGUUUGGCACCUCGAUGUC